rnacentral:ncRNA from 2 species
GUAUAUUCUCAGGGCGGGGUGAAAUUCCCCACCGGCGGUAACCUGGCCUGUAUCAGGAAGCCCGCGAGCGCUCCCCCCAAGGCUUGAAUGAGAAAGCUUAAAUUGAAAAGUUUAAACCAGGGGAGGUCAGCAGAUCCGGUUAAAUUCCGGAGCCGACGGUUAAAGUCCGGAUGGAAGAGAAUGCGU